UCUAGCUUUCUGUCUCCAAAACGGCGAUUUUUCUCGCCCUCCGACCUUCCAUCUUUCUCUGAGGAAUUAUCCACAACGGUGCAAUUAGAUCCGAUUCAAUUUUUUACCCAGAAACGUUGGCGUUUCCUGGCUCGGAUCCUCCUCUUCUUUUUCACCCAAACCAGCUGCCCCACCUUCAAUUGAUACGGACGGAAACACCACGAAUUGAGCCGCAACACCAAUACUGUAACAAUUAUAAGAAAAGAGCUCCAAACCCGCAAAGAAGUAGGAUUACAAAUAAAUAGCAGCAUGUGAACUAAAUACAAAACAGAAUCAAGAUUGAACUUGAUCUGCAGCAGCCGCAUCCUCUGAGGAAACCGUGUUGGAACAGAACUGUAUUUGUGCAGAUCUUGCAAACGUAUUUGAAGUGUUGUUGCCACAACUUCUGCUGUAUCCCAAUCCUUCUGACGCUUUAAACGGAGAGGCUGCAGCUUUAAUGAUGUGUUACCAAGCUGCUUAUGAACAAAGAGUUAAAGCAAUUGUCAUUGGACGUGCGUUCGAGCCUCAGGUUUUCCCAAAAUUAGAUCGUUUCUAAUUCCGUUCUGCAAUCAUGUUGUGUUUGUCUGUUUUUAAUUGUUGGUGCAAGCUUGAAGGAGAUUGUGAAAAAUUGGACUGACUCCUCCAACAAAUCUGUCAACCACCUCCUUGCCCAAGAAAACUCAAGUACAUAUCUCGAAAGCUUUUUGUCCAGCCCUGAACAUUUGCUUUCCACAAGAAGAAUUUGGUUUGGUCAACCUUUAAUGCCUUAUUGUCGGAUUAAGUUAAAGGUGGUACAAUAGUUCUAUCCGAUGAUGGUCGCUAUUUUUCAAAGUCAAAGGAUGCUGUGGAAUUUCAAGAUUGAAAACCGCUGGCUUUCAAUCUUUUAAAACAAAUUACCUUUGUAAGACCAUCUCCAAACCUGGGCUAAAAGUCAAAUUACCCCCCAAACACUCUCCAACCCAUGUUAAAAUUUUAGGCUAAAUGCCAAAUGUUA